rnacentral:rRNA from 2 species
ACGGAAGGCAGCAGUGGGGAAUAUUGCACAAUGGGCGAAAGCCUGAUGCAGCGACGCCGCGUGAGUGAAGAAGUAUCUCGGUAUGUAAAGCUCUAUCAGCAGGGAAGAAAAUGACGGUACCUGACUAAGAAGCCCCGGCUAACUACGUGCCAGCAGCCGCGGUAAUACGUAGGGGGCAAGCGUUAUCCGGAUUUACUGGGUGUAAGGGGAGCGUAGACGGUUUGGCAAGUCUGAAGUGAAAUGCGGGGGCUCAACUCCUGAACUGCUUUGGAAACUGUCGAACUAGAGUGCAGGAGAGGUAAGUGGAAUUCCUAGUGUAGCGGUGAAAUGCGUAGAUAUUAGGAGGAACACCAGUGGCGAAGGCGGCUUACUGGACUGUAACUGACGUUGAGGCUCGAAAGCGUGGGGAGCAAACAGGAUUAGAUACCCUGGUA